rnacentral:rRNA from 1 species
GGGUUGUGAGGUUAAGCGACUAAGCGUACACGGUGGAUGCCCUGGCAGUCAGAGGCGAUGAAGGACGUGCUAAUCUGCGAUAAGCGUCGGUAAGGUGAUAUGAACCGUUAUAACCGGCGAUUUCCGAAUGGGGAAACCCAGUGUGAUUCGUCACACUAUCAUUAACUGAAUCCAUAGGUUAAUGAGGCGAACCGGGGGAACUGAAACAUCUAAGUACCCCGAGGAAAAGAAAUCAACCGAGAUUCCCCCAGUAGCGGCGAGCGAACGGGGAGCAGCCCAGAGCCUGAAUCAGUGUGUGUGUUAGUGGAAGCGUCUGGAAAGGCGCGCGAUACAGGGUGACAGCCCCGUACACAAAAAUGCACAUACUGUGAGCUCGAUGAGUAGGGCGGGACACGUGGUAUCCUGUCUGAAUAUGGGGGGACCAUCCUCCAAGGCUAAAUACUCCUGACUGACCGAUAGUGAACCAGUACCGUGAGGGAAAGGCGAAAAGAACCCCGGCGAGGGGAGUGAAAAAGAACCUGAAACCGUGUACGUACAAGCAGUGGGAGCACGCUUAGGCGUGUGACUGCGUACCUUUUGUAUAAUGGGUCAGCGACUUAUAUUCUGUAGCAAGGUUAACCGAAUAGGGGAGCCGAAGGGAAACCGAGUCUUAACUGGGCGUUAAGUUGCAGGGUAUAGACCCGAAACCCGGUGAUCUAGCCAUGGGCAGGUUGAAGGUUGGGUAACACUAACUGGAGGACCGAACCGACUAAUGUUGAAAAAUUAGCGGAUGACUUGUGGCUGGGGGUGAAAGGCCAAUCAAACCGGGAGAUAGCUGGUUCUCCCCGAAAGCUAUUUAGGUAGCGCCUCGUGAAUUCAUCUCCGGGGGUAGAGCACUGUUUCGGCAAGGGGGUCAUCCCGACUUACCAACCCGAUGCAAACUGCGAAUACCGGAGAAUGUUAUCACGGGAGACACACGGCGGGUGCUAACGUCCGUCGUGAAGAGGGAAACAACCCAGACCGCCAGCUAAGGUCCCAAAGUCAUGGUUAAGUGGGAAACGAUGUGGGAAGGCCCAGACAGCCAGGAUGUUGGCUUAGAAGCAGCCAUCAUUUAAAGAAAGCGUAAUAGCUCACUGGUCGAGUCGGCCUGCGCGGAAGAUGUAACGGGGCUAAACCAUGCACCGAAGCUGCGGCAGCGACGCUGAUGCGUUGUUGGGUAGGGGAGCGUUCUGUAAGCCUGCGAAGGUGUGCUGUGAGGCAUGCUGGAGGUAUCAGAAGUGCGAAUGCUGACAUAAGUAACGAUAAAGCGGGUGAAAAGCCCGCUCGCCGGAAGACCAAGGGUUCCUGUCCAACGUUAAUCGGGGCAGGGUGAGUCGACCCCUAAGGCGAGGCCGAAAGGCGUAGUCGAUGGGAAACAGGUUAAUAUUCCUGUACUUGGUGUUACUGCGAAGGGGGGACGGAGAAGGCUAUGUUGGCCGGGCGACGGUUGUCCCGGUUUAAGCGUGUAGGCUGGUUUUCCAGGCAAAUCCGGAAAAUCAAGGCUGAGGCGUGAUGACGAGGCACUACGGUGCUGAAGCAACAAAUGCCCUGCUUCCAGGAAAAGCCUCUAAGCAUCAGGUAACAUCAAAUCGUACCCCAAACCGACACAGGUGGUCAGGUAGAGAAUACCAAGGCGCUUGAGAGAACUCGGGUGAAGGAACUAGGCAAAAUGGUGCCGUAACUUCGGGAGAAGGCACGCUGAUAUGUAGGUGAAGUCCCUCGCGGAUGGAGCUGAAAUCAGUCGAAGAUACCAGCUGGCUGCAACUGUUUAUUAAAAACACAGCACUGUGCAAACACGAAAGUGGACGUAUACGGUGUGACGCCUGCCCGGUGCCGGAAGGUUAAUUGAUGGGGUCAGCGCAAGCGAAGCUCUUGAUCGAAGCCCCGGUAAACGGCGGCCGUAACUAUAACGGUCCUAAGGUAGCGAAAUUCCUUGUCGGGUAAGUUCCGACCUGCACGAAUGGCGUAAUGAUGGCCAGGCUGUCUCCACCCGAGACUCAGUGAAAUUGAACUCGCUGUGAAGAUGCAGUGUACCCGCGGCAAGACGGAAAGACCCCGUGAACCUUUACUAUAGCUUGACACUGAACAUUGAGCCUUGAUGUGUAGGAUAGGUGGGAGGCUUUGAAGUGUGGACGCCAGUCUGCAUGGAGCCGACCUUGAAAUACCACCCUUUAAUGUUUGAUGUUCUAACGUUGACCCGUAAUCCGGGUUGCGGACAGUGUCUGGUGGGUAGUUUGACUGGGGCGGUCUCCUCCUAAAGAGUAACGGAGGAGCACGAAGGUUGGCUAAUCCUGGUCGGACAUCAGGAGGUUAGUGCAAUGGCAUAAGCCAGCUUGACUGCGAGCGUGACGGCGCGAGCAGGUGCGAAAGCAGGUCAUAGUGAUCCGGUGGUUCUGAAUGGAAGGGCCAUCGCUCAACGGAUAAAAGGUACUCCGGGGAUAACAGGCUGAUACCGCCCAAGAGUUCAUAUCGACGGCGGUGUUUGGCACCUCGAUGUCGGCUCAUCACAUCCUGGGGCUGAAGUAGGUCCCAAGGGUAUGGCUGUUCGCCAUUUAAAGUGGUACGCGAGCUGGGUUUAGAACGUCGUGAGACAGUUCGGUCCCUAUCUGCCGUGGGCGCUGGAGAACUGAGGGGGGCUGCUCCUAGUACGAGAGGACCGGAGUGGACGCAUCACUGGUGUUCGGGUUGUCAUGCCAAUGGCACUGCCCGGUAGCUAAAUGCGGAAGAGAUAAGUGCUGAAAGCAUCUAAGCACGAAACUUGCCCCGAGAUGAGUUCUCCCUGACUCCUUGAGAGUCCUGAAGGAACGUUGAAGACGACGACGUUGAUAGGCCGAGUGUGUAAGCGCAGCGAUGCGUUGAGCUAACCGGUACUAAUGAACCGUGAGGCUUAACCUUACAACGCCGAAGGUGUUU